rnacentral:lncRNA from 1 species
GGAGGAUACUACUCGAGCGGUUUGCCUGUGUAUGAAACUACCAACGUGGAUAGCAUCAAGAAUAUCAGAGGAACCCCGAUUGCAAAUGCCUCAUAGUAACAUAUAUUUUUAGUACUGUGUAUUAUUUCAUUUUUAUGGGAGAUGAUCAUAUAAAUUUAUGUUAGAUGCAUGCAUGGAUGUGGUCGACAUGGAAGUGAAUUUUGCUUCUUUUUUCUCUUUCUCUUUCAUCUUCUAGGAAAGUUCUAGCGGUGCUUUUCUCUGUAUAUACAGUUGGGAAUGUUUGUUUGUCUUUUGUUUUUGUUUUUACUAGUAGUUAGUUUGGAGCUAUAUAAUCAGGAUUUCCAGUACUAGAACACCAGUUUGGUGGAUUGGCUUGAUUGAUAGGCAUGAAUUCCCUUGGUAUGAUCCCUGAAACUUGCACUGAAUUAUACUUUUUCUGGAGAAGUAUGGCAUGCACGAUCAUCAUAUCAUAUCAUGUGACCUGCAAUGUGUUUUACUUUUCCGAUCAUGAGUUUGGACAUAAUCAUGUCGAUCAAUUUUUCCAUUAAACAUGUGUGUUUAUCGUAAACUUCAUUUCUUGGAAUUUCAUCUACCAUCAUGUAUUAGAGUGAUAUUCCUUUGCAAUGUGUGUUCUUUUUUCAUUUCUUUUGAAAUAAAGGGGGGGGGGGUAGCUAGAGAGCAGUUGUGCUCUUCUAUCUUCAUUUUCAUCGGAAAAAAUAAAUAAAAAUCUCCUUAUCUGUAAUUAUAAAAGACAGGUUGUCGGUGAGCUGUGACUUGGUUAGUUAAGGUGUUUAACUGAUAAUUUUGAGGUCACGAGUUCAAACUUCACUGACAUAUGUAGGGUGUGUGAGUUAUUAAUAAAAUAUUUAAAAAAAAAAACAGAAUUAAAAGAAAGGCCAAAAAUGGUUCUUAGUUCUUACCAUCCUUAAUUCUUUUAUGUGAUAGUGUCGGCACAAUUCCAAUAAUCAAAUUCGGCCAUCUUGGAAACAAUGGUCUGCUACUCUGCUUGUUGAUCUGCACAAUGCCAAAAUCUUAAAAUUAAUCAAUUAAAAACAAAACCGAAAUUUAGUUGACGUAGUUAAAAGAAGCUCAACUAUUGUUCUGGUCACUAAGUACAUUGCGUGGUAGCUCAAAAGAGCAAAAGUUCGAUCACAAAUGAGUGAAGCUUUCUGCAAUUGGCUAAUGUUUUGCCGAUAUAAUCUUUGUAGAGAAAACGGUUCAAUCACAUAAAUCCAAAUGAGUGAAGCUAAGUAGGGUUUCUUAUUCGGGUCUCCACUCUAGAUCUGCCAUAUACAUAUAACAUAAAAUAGGUUAUGGCUUCUGUAGUGGGGAGCAGACAGGUAAGUGUUUAUAGUGGGGUGUACAAAUAUAUGCAAGGGAUUUAUAUUCCUUUUGGUCUGAAUAUGCAGGGGAUGCAUGACAUGGUAAUCUGCUUUGGUUCCAUAUGAUGCAUGGGAAAAGCAUAAAAGUUUAAGCUCCCAACCUCAAAAUAGUUAAGCCAUUGAUCAUGAUAUUAAACAUAAACUCUGUACGUCUAAUCAAAACGAUCUAGAACAAAAAGGUGAUCCAGCAUUAUUCCAGUACUUUGAUUACUAUUAGAAACAAUCUCUCUAGAUUCUACACAAAGCCAAACUAAUCAGUUACUCUUGGCAAAUUGAGCACAUAGAUGGUAGCCUGAUAUGACAAACUAGCAACUUGAUCUCCUAACUCUGGAAACCAUGAAUCAAGACUAUUCGGGCCAGCAACAAAAAAAAGGUAGUUUCCCUGUAUUCUUUUGGGAAUGAUGCAAACCAUCCACAAAAUUGAAAGCCCCAAAUGGCAAAAAUUGUUCACAAACAUGUAAGCUCAGCCAUAGAGGUGGUGAAAAUGAUAUCAAGUUAGGUGAGCUAUCCUUGUCGCUAUUGGAAUGACUGGUUUCUAUCAUCAAUCUUACACUAGGAACAAACUGGUGUGGUCUGAAAAUUGGCCUCUAACAGACUCAAUUGAUUGAUGUGGCUGCAGUUCCUAACACAAGGAAUUGAACCACACCAAAUUGCCACUUCUGAAAGCUGCAUCAGUUACUUGUAUGUAUGAGACGCUGCUACGCAUACAGAAAAAGGAAGUAUACAACUAGGACUGGAAUGUCAACAAUCAUGAAUCGUGAUCCUUUUGGUUUUGGAUAUCCUAUUGAAACUGAGCAAUGAUGCAAACAAACACAGGAAUGGAUUUAAGUUCUGUAACUACCAAUAUUGGUGGUAUUGGGGGUCCAAGUUAACUUAUCACUAAUCGAUGUUGAUGAUAUUGAUUACUAAGGUUUAACCCCACACGUCCUGAAACUGUAACUCAAAGAGAAAGAAAUGACCUGCUUUUCUCUGUGCAAAACAUAUAUGAUCUCCUAUUCUCCUUCCUUUUAUAAAAAGUAUCUGCAAAGUGAGAUCACUAGCUCCCGUUAACCCUCUUUUCACUAUAAUGGCACUAUCCCAAUUAUCAAAUCCACCCUGGUUCAACCUGUUCAACAUAUCACAUGAUUCACAUCUGAUAAAGCUAUCCCAUCACAUUUACUAGUCCCUUUGCUACUUGUGCUUCUAACAAAAUGGAGACUCUACUUAGGUAACUAACUACGUAUAGAUAGAUAAGCAUUCUCCCUUCGCGGGUAAGUUGGCGAUGAGUGUAACUUUGAUACAAUGUUAGACAAUGAAUCAGUAAGGAGCUAGCAUUAUUGUAUGUCAACUUGUCAAGCUAUUUCAACAUAAAGCAAACUAGGUAGUACUUCUUAAUUAUUCAGCCGCAAGAAAACCAAGCACAGAACCAGACUAAUGAAAAUGGGCAGGAACAACGUAUGCACACCCGAUCAAGCAUAACACCAACCAUUAUCUCUGUCAAAUAAACCCUAACACCAACUAAAAAAAUCUCGAGUGGAAAGAUGAAUGUGCAUAUAUACCUUUAGGAGUUCUCGAUCAACUUUGUGUUCAUCUGCCAUAACUUCUGGUAAACGAAAGCAGAGACAACAACCUUCUUUGAUUUAUUCCAACAUGUGGGAGGUCCUAGCUCUAUGGUUCCCAUCGCACCAGAGCCAACCAUCUAUGUCUUUGAUCUAAAUGUAACCACAUUUUUGAACCAGAUCAUAAGGAUCAAACAAGUUUUAUAGUUGAUCCACAUUUGGGGAACAAGAGCAGGAAUCUGACCCCCUCCCACUCCCAGGGGUGAAACUUAUUGUGAUC